rnacentral:pre_miRNA from 1 species
CAUUUCAAAUCAGCAGCGCAGCAUGGAGCCCAGGGUCAGUGGGGGACUGAGUCCCUUGCUGACCCCGGGCUCCUUGCUGCACUGCUGAUUUGAAAUG